AUGAUUUUCUACGUUGUUUGCAUUGGGCUGGCCUUCCUCAGCCUAGCUCUUUCUUUCUUUCACUAUGGAUACUUUUCUGCAGGAUUUAGAAUGAAGCAGAGUGAAGACACACACUGGAGUGCCUUGCAGAGGAGCUUAGCCACAGCUGACAUCGUGUGUGUCCUGGCUCGGUGUGUGUCCUGGUCUACCUGGCUCUUAUGGGACUACCUAUGGCCUCAUGCAGACCUGGAAACUUAUUGUACAUUCCUUGAACAUAUGAAAAUCCAAGUCUUUAUGAAAUGGAAGGAAACAAAUACAGAGAAUUAG
rnacentral:lncRNA from 1 species